rnacentral:rRNA from 1 species
UACGGAGGAUCCAAGCGUUAUCCGGAAUCAUUGGGCUUAAAGGGUCCGUAGGCGGGUCAAUCAGUCAGUGGUGAAAGUCUGCAGCUUAACUGUAGAAUUGCCAUUGAUACUGUUGACCUUGAGUAAUUAUGAAGUGGUUAGAAUAUGUAGUGUAGCGGUGAAAUGCAUAGAUAUUACAUAGAAUACCGAUUGCGAAGGCAGAUCACUAAUAAUUUACUGACGCUGAGGGACGAAAGCGUAGGUAGCGAACAGG